GUUUAUGUUAAAUUAAAAUUCUCUCCACAAUCCAUGACAAUAAAAAAAUAAACAUCAACUCUGCAUGACAACUGAGUCUUUUCCGAAUCCCAGCACAUCAUUGAAACGGAAAGAAGCUGCCAACAAUUUAGGGAGAAAUCCACAGAUGUUCUGUGCAUGUGUCAGUGUGAUGGGAAAUUGCAUUGUCUUCAUAGAGUCAAAGAG
rnacentral:lncRNA from 1 species